rnacentral:tRNA from 1 species
GCCCUUGUAGCUCAGCCGGUAGAGCACCUCCAUGGUAAGGAGGGGGUCGUUGGUUCAAGUCCAAUCAAGGGCU